rnacentral:rRNA from 1 species
CCUACGGGUGGCAGCAGUGAGGAAUAUUGGUCAAUGGGCGGGAGCCUGAACCAGCAAAGCCGCGUGAAGGAAGAAGGCGCCAAGCGUCGUAAACUUCUUUUGUCGGGGAACAAAGGGCGCCACGUGUGGCGUUGUGAGUGUACCCGAAGAAAAAGCAUCGGCUAACUCCGUGCCAGCGGCCGCGGUGAUACGGAGGAUGCGAGCGGUAUCCGGUUUUAUUGGGUAUAAAGGGUGCGUAGGCGGUCCGGAAAGUCAACGGUAAAAUCCCGGGGCUCAACCCCGGCGAGCCGUUGAAACUGUCGGACUAGAGACGGCGAGAAGUACGCGGAAUGCGCGGUGUAGCGGUGAAAUGCAUAGAUAUCGCGCAGAACUCCGAUUGCGAAGGUAGCGUACCGGCGCCGGACUGACGCUGAGGCACGAAAGCGUGGGUAUCGAACAGGAUUAGAUACCCGGGUAGUC